rnacentral:rRNA from 1 species
UACGUAGGGGGCAAGCGUUGUCCGGAUUUAUUGGGCGUAAAGAGCGUGUAGGCGGCCAGGGAGGUCCGUUGUGAAAACUGGAGGCUCAACCUCCAGACGUCGACGGAAACCGUGUGGCUAGAGUCCGGAAGAGGAGAGUGGAAUUCCUGGUGUAGCGGUGAAAUGCGCAGAUAUCAGGAAGAACACCAAUGGCGAAGGCAGCUCUCUGGGACGGUACUGACGCUGAGACGCGAAAGCGUGGGGAGCGAACAGG